UGGGGAGUCUUGGACAAUGGGGGCAACCCUGAUCCAGCGACGCCGCGUGGGUGAUGAAGGCCUUCGGGUUGUAAAGCCCUUUCGCCGGGGACGAUGAUGACGGUACCCGGAGAAGAAGCCCCGGCUAACUCCGCGCCAGCAGCCGCGGUAAGACGGAGGGGGCAAGCGUUGUCCGGACUCACUGGGCGUAAAGGGCGUGCAGGCGGCUCUGUGCGUCGGCGCUGAAAGCGCCCGGCUUAACCGGGCGAGGUGCGUCGAUACGAUAGAGCUUGAGGCAAGGUGAGGCUGGCGGAAUUCCGGGUGUAGUGGUGAAAUGCGUAGAGAUCCGGAGGAACGCCCGUGGCGUAAGCGGCUAGCUAGUCUUGACCUGACGCUGAGGCGCGAAAGCGUGGGGAGCGAACCGGAUUAGAUACCCCGGUAGUCC
rnacentral:rRNA from 1 species